CAUUUAUGGAGAGUUUGAUCCUGGCUCAGGACGAACGCUGGCGGCAUGCCUAAUACAUGCAAGUCGAACGAAGUGGACU
rnacentral:rRNA from 1 species